rnacentral:rRNA from 1 species
AAAGGUUUCCAGAGUAAAGCUGAUCUGCUCUGGGUAAGUCGGGACCUAAGGAGAGGUCGAAAGACGUAUCCGAUGGACAACAGGUUUAGAUUCCUGUACCACAUAUGAACAGAACUGUGGGGACGCAUGUGGAGAGCACGAGCCGGGAAUGGAAAUACCGGUACAAGCGGAGAAGGAGUCUGGUUGGCAAAUCCGCCAGGCAAUCCGAAGACGUGAUGUGGAGCGAAUUAGAGUAGCGAAGCGUGUGAGCCAUGUGCCGAGAAAAGCCGCCAUUGUUUCAUGUGUGCCCGUACCGUAAACCGACACAGGUGGAUGAGGAGAGAAUCCUAAGGCCGGCGGAAGAAGCAUUGUUAAGGAACUCGGCAAAAUGACCCCGUAACUUCGGGAGAAGGGGUGCCUGCUAACGCAGGCCGCAGAGAAUAGGCUCAAGCAACUGUUUAGCAAAAACACAGGUCUAUGCGAAACCGAAGGGUGAAGUAUAUGGGCUGACGCCUGCCCGGUGCUGGAAGGUUAAGACGAGAGGUUAGCGCAAGCGAAGCUUUGAAUUUAAGCCCCAGUAAACGGCGGCCGUAACUAUAACGGUCCUAAGGUAGCGAAAUUCCUUGUCGGGUAAGUUCCGACCCGCACGAAAGGCGUAAUGAUUUGAGCACUGUCUCGACAAUGCAUCCGGUGAAAUUGAAGUACCAGUGAAGAUGCUGGUUACCCGCGCCAGGACGGAAAGACCCCAUGGAGCUUUACUCCAGUUUGGUACUGGGAUUCGAUACUGCAUGUACAGGAUAGGUGGGAGACUAAGAACUUGGGACGCCAGUUUCAAGGGAGUCGCUGUUGGGAUACCACCCUUGCAGUAUUGGAUUUCUAACCAGCCGCCGUGAUCCGGCGGUGGGACAAUGCCAGGCGGGGAGUUUGACUGGGGCGGUCGCCUCCGAAAGGGUAUCGGAGGCGCUCAAAGGUUCCCUCAGAAUGGUUGGAAACCAUUUGAAGAGUGCAAAGGCAGAAGGGAGCUUGGCUGCGACACCGACGGGUGGAGCAGGUAGGAAACUAGGACUUAGUGAUCCGGUGGCAUAAAGUGGGAUUGCCAUCGCUCAACGGAUAAAAGCUACCCUGGGAUAACAGGCUUAUCACUCCCAAGAGUUCACAUCGACGGAGUGGUUUGGCACCUCGAUGUCGGCUCAUCGCAUCCUGGGGCUGUAGCAGGUCCCAAGGGUUGGGCUGUUCGCCCAUUAAAGCGGUACGCGAGCUGGGUUCAGAACGUCGUGAGACAGUUCGGUCCCUAUCCGGCGCGGGCGGAGGAUAUUUGAGAGGAGCUGUCCUUAGUACGAGAGGACCGGGAUGGACGGACCACUGGUGUAUCUGCUGUCGACCAACGGCAUGGCAGAGUAGCCAAGUCCGGAAGGGAUAAACGCUGAAGGCAUCUAAGCGUGAAGCCCCCCUCAAGAUGAGAUAUCCCUCACAUAAGUGAGUAAGAUCCCUUGAAGACUACAAGGUAGAUAGGGCAGAGGUGGAAGCACGGUAACGUGUGGAGCUGACUGUUACUAAUCGAUCGAGGGCUUGACCA